UCUGAGGUCGAGCUUCUGCUACGCGCUUCGACGGACCGACCGCACCGUGCGUCAGCGCGUGCGCCCCGCGGAGGUCCCUGGCCAUGGCGAACGCCGAACGGCGAAAGCCAACGGCAACACGCGGCGCAAGUCGCGACCUCGCGGCCAUGGCGAAUUGGCGAUGCGUGUCCUCCGCCUCCCAGAAGGCUGCCAUGGCAUGGGGCGUGGCACAAAACAGAUUUGCCCGUUCGUGUUUGCUUGUACUAGCUUCUGCAGGCCACGGAGUAUGUUAUUUUUAGCUCUGUUCCAGGAAAAUGUGAGACUGUUCGGCAAAGUUGAGUCGCAGUGAUAUAGAGGAGUCUCAAGUAUACUUCCUUUUUCAGUGAGGUUAAGGAUCAAUGUCCUUGGGAAGUCGUUGCUGUUGAGAUUUGAAAUAACAAGUCUGGGACCACUAACCCAGUACUAUGCGAUUGACUUCAUUUGUCUAGACUCAUCUUGUUCGUUUGGUUGGAUGUUAACUUGUUGACUGGAAGGUAGUUGCUUAGCUCUGUUGUUCGGCGCUGAAACUUGUAAGCUGGAAUCUCCAGCAUUGUUGUUGUGUCAGAGUCUGUACAAACUUAUAUAUUAACUUUCUAUAAAAGCUGAAUUACCUAUGAAAAAAGGACAAAAAUUUUGGUCAUGAUGAGAGGAAAGAGUCAGCACAUGAAGAUAAAUAUAAAGACGUAGAAGAAUGUAAAGGAUGAAUAAAAAAAUAAAAUAUUAUAUAUGAUUCAACUCCAACAAAUGUUGCAAAACAGAUUUGUGAAAGGACAAAGCAAAUGAUUGCAAAUAUGUUCAUAGAUGACAAUGAUACUAUAAACACGAUAACGAUGAUGAAAUAGAGAAGCAUUUGACUCAUCAACGUAUUUCAAAGAGAGAAGUACCAAAUAUUGCAGCCUACCUUCUUUGAGGUAUCACUUCUUGGAGAUUAAGUAUCGUUGCAGCCUGUUACAGAGAAAAGCUCAUUCUUUGUCCAUUUCGUUGUAACAGUAACUAUCGUUGCUAAGUCCCAUUGCCACAACCAAAAUAGCUACCUGAUGAAGAAUCCUUGGCUUUAGUGCAGCGUGCACAAAUUACUCAUAGAGCUUGGAGCAACGCAAAGCACAUACCAUGGAGUGGAGGCUCUACUGGAUGUGGCUUUUUUUACCCUGCCAGUUUCAGGAUUCUAUUUUAGUAAUUUAGAAUAAGUAUCAAGAUUGCUAGUGGUGGUGCGACACUGGUAGAAUAAUUUGAGAUUGUAGCCAGAUACCAGUUGUCAGAAUAUCUGGACCAGUCAGGAUCACACAUUCUAAUAAGUUAUUUCUUUCUAACAAAGAUAGCUUGUGCACACUUGUACCUGUUAGUAUUGAAGCAAAAAAGAAGAAAUACAGAGAUGCACAAUGCAGUAACAUUGGAAAGGGCCUGGGGACUCUAAUUUUUUAACGUUUCUGUGUGUUCUGCCUCUCUUUGUUGAUAGUUAACCCAAGAACAAAGAGAAUAUGUAUAAGGAAAAAAAGAUAUGACAAUGAUGGACAUAUUUUUCCUCUUUUAGAAAACCGGAAAGGUCAUAUGAUUCCCCAUUCUCCAAAUAAAGUUAUUCAUUUCAAAGUGUUCUAUCAGAAAUCGUACCUGUGAUUGCUAUGUUGCCAACUUGCCGCACAAUCUAGAAGUUUGGUACUUUAUCUUUUAUUUUUUAGAAAAUGACUAAUGUAUUUUCAGAAUAUUACUGAUACUGCAGUAGAAGUAUAAGACAGGGUCUUCCUUUAAAAGCCUUUGCUCAUGUAAUAAUUUUUUCCACUAUUGUUAUAUUUCUUGUUAAUAGAUAGUUGCAGAGUUAUAAAGGCUUUUCAUAUCAAACAACAUACAUGGGUAGUUGGGUACACACCAUAUAUCUCAAUUCAUAAAAGGCAAGCCAGAAGUAUGAAAAUAACCACCCAUCCCUAAAAUGCUUUGUUGUUGUUGUCAGUAAUAAAAAAACGAACUUGUCACCAAACCCCUAUUUAGUCUGACAAAUUUGCAAAAGGACUUGUACAUAACUUUUAUUUGUGAAUGGACUCUGUUUCUAAUCAAAUUGGUUAUGCAUAGUGGAGCUUUUUCUCCUUACAAAGUAGCAGAGUUAAGGUACUUUUAGUUUCUUCCCUGAUCUGCAAAUCUGGCACAGAAAUUUCUUUAAUAUUUAUUAUAAUUAUUGUUGUUUUCUUUGUUGGCUAACAUUAUGCAAGAAUGUCAAGCAUUCAGCCCUGAAAUAAGUGGCUGUGGUUCCUCCCUUCAUCCUACCCAUAUGGAACUGGGGCCGACUUCUGAACCGCUAAAGCAUCUAUCCCACUAGGCCAGUACUCACCAUGCUUGAUGAUAAACCUGCAGAUUUCUGGUCAGAUUCUGCAGCUCCGCGGCUCUCCAAUCUCCAUGCGCAGAGGAAACAUAUCUACAUCGUUGAAAGAUCUCGCCUUGACUCGUCCCUGAGUAGGAGGAGUAUAUCCGGCUGUAAAGGACAGGACAGGACGCGGCAAGGUUUGAGUUGUGCAGUGGGCGCGGCCAAGUUGCCCCUGUGCUUGUGCAUAGAUAGAUUCGGGCCAAUCAGUCUGUUGUUUGGACGUGCAUCUGUCCCCAUUAAGGGGCAGAUCACGAGGGGAGAGGCGCGAGCAACAAGUCGCCCAGCUGAUUUUGGACGCACGCUGUUGGGGGCGUAUGGGUAUGGGCUCCGUCAUGCUGCCGGAAGAGCCGUCGCCCUCCGGAUUCGUUUCACUGUACUGUACCUGCUGGUCGUAAGUCGUAAACAGAGGAUAGGAUAGAUGGAGGCCGGCCUUGUUUAGAUCGAAUUUUUUUUAGAAACAUUAUCCAAUUAUGGAGCAACUAGGCUUAAAAGUUUCGUCUCGUGAU